rnacentral:lncRNA from 1 species
AAAAACUUGGAUAAAACUUCAGGAAUUUACGUUUAGUGAAAAAAAAUCAAUACAUCCCAAACUGAAUGAUUUUGUUUAUGUAAUUUUUUACAUAAAUGAAAAUAUUAGUGGUGGCCAGGAUUUAGGGAUGAGUGAACAGGUGGGUAGAGGAAAACAGGUGUGGUCAUCAAGGGAAAACGAAGAAUUCUUGUGAUAACUGAGCAGUUCUGUAUUUUUACUGUGGUGGUGAAUACAUGCUCCUACACAGGUGGCACAACUCUAUGGUACUACACACACACAUGCACACACAUAGACCUAUAAAUAAAUAGUACAAGUAAAAUGGGUGAUAUCUGAAUAAGAUUAAUGGACUGUAUCAGCGUCAUGGCUAUGACGGUGUACUUUUGUUUUAAAAGAUGUUACCACUGGAGGGAGCUGAAUCAUGGCUAUGAUAUGGCACUAUAGUUUUACAAGAUGUUACCAUUGACGGAAGCCGAAUAAAGGGUAGAUAGGGUAUCUUUGCAUUAUUUCUUAAAACUACAUAGGAGUCCACAUUGAUAAAAAAUUUAAUGAAAAAAUGGAAAUUUCCUAAACCAACCUGUUCUGAAACUCCUAUUCGAAAAUGUAUAUGAAAUGGAACCUAAUUAAACUAAAGAGCACAGCAAAUGAAACUAUCCACAAAAUAAACAACCUACAGAAUGGCAGAAAAUAUUUGCAAACUAUAAAUCUGACAAAAGUCUAAUAUCCACAUUCUAUAAGGAAUGUAAAUAAUUGAAGAUGCAAAAAAUGACCCCAUUCAAAAAUUAGCAAAAGACAUGGACAGACUCUUCUCAAUAGAAGACAUAUAAGCAGCCAACACACAAAUGAAAAAAGGUUCAACAUUGCUAGCAUCAAAUAAAUGCAAAUCAAAACCCCAAUAAGAAACCAUCUCACACCACUCAGAAUGGCUAUUACUAAAAAGUCAGAAAACAACAGACACUGGUGAGGCUGCAGAAAAAAUGGGAAUGCUUAUCCUGUUGAUAGGAAUGUAAAUUAGUUCAGCCACUGUGGAAAGCAGUUUGGAGAUUUCUCAAAGAAUUGAAAAGAGAACUACCAUUAAACUUAGCAAUCUCAUUACUGGGUACAUAUCCAAGAUAAAAUGAAUCAUUCUAUCAAAAAGACACAUGCACUUGUGUGUUCAUCACAGCACUAUUAACAAUAGCAAAGCCAUAGAACAAACCUAGGUGCCUAUGAAUGGUGGAUUGGAUAAAGAAAAUGUAGCACAUAUACACCAUGCAAUACCACCUACCCAUAAAAAAAGAAUAAAAUCAUGUUUUUUUGCAGCAACAUGGAUGCAGCUGGAGGCCAUUAUCUUAAGUGAAUUAACGAAGGAACGGAAAACCAAGAAAGAAAUGUACCAGCAGCAUCUAGUCCUUCAACUGGCUUUUCCCUCCUGUUGAUGAGAUGCCUUGUUUCCACCUGAACUGACUCUCCCUUGGCUAAGA